GGGGGGGGCCCUAUACAUGGCAGGUCGGAACGAACUCUGGUAUUGAUUGGUGCUUGCAUCAUGAUUUACAUUUGAGUGAGUGGCGAACUGGUGAGUAACACGUGGGAAACCUGCCCAGAAGCGGGGGAUAACACCUGGAAACAGAUGCUAAUACCGCAUAACAACUUGGACCGCAUGGUCCGAGUUUGAAAGAUGGCUUCGGCUAUCACUUUUGGAUGGUCCCGCGGCGUAUUAGCUAGAUGGUGGGGUAACGGCUCACCAUGGCAAUGAUACGUAGCCGACCUGAGAGGGUAAUCGGCCACAUUGGGACUGAGACACGGCCCAAACUCCUACGGGAGGCAGCAGUAGGGAAUCUUCCACAAUGGACGAAAGUCUGAUGGAGCAACGCCGCGUGAGUGAAGAAGGGUUUCGGCUCGUAAAACUCUGUUGUUAAAGAAGAACAUAUCUGAGAGUAACUGUUCAGGUAUUGACGGUAUUUAACCAGAAAGCCACGGCUAACUACGUGCCAGCAGCCGCGGUAAUACGUAGGUGGCAAGCGUUGUCCGGAUUUAUUGGGCGUAAAGCGAGCGCAGGCGGUUUUUUAAGUCUGAUGUGAAAGCCUUCGGCUCAACCGAAGAAGUGCAUCGGAAACUGGGAAACUUGAGUGCAGAAGAGGACAGUGGAACUCCAUGUGUAGCGGUGAAAUGCGUAGAUAUAUGGAAGAACACCAGUGGCGAAGGCGGCUGUCUGGUCUGUAACUGACGCUGAGGCUCGAAAGUAUGGGUAGCAAACAGGAUUAGAUACCCUGGUAGUCCAUACCGUAAACGAUGAAUGCUAAGUGUUGGAGGGUUUCCGCCCUUCAGUGCUGCAGCUAACGCAUUAAGCAUUCCGCCUGGGGAGUACGGCCGCAAGGCUGAAACUCAAAGGAAUUGACGGGGGCCCGCACAAGCGGUGGAGCAUGUGGUUUAAUUCGAAGCUACGCGAAGAACCUUACCAGGUCUUGACAUACUAUGCAAAUCUAAGAGAUUAGACGUUCCCUUCGGGGACAUGGAUACAGGUGGUGCAUGGUUGUCGUCAGCUCGUGUCGUGAGAUGUUGGGUUAAGUCCCGCA
rnacentral:rRNA from 2 species